CGAAUUCCAAGCUUAGAGUUUGAUCCUGGCUCAGAUUGAACGCUGGCGGCAUGCUUUACACAUGCAAGUCGAACGGUAACAGCACUUCGGUGGCUGACGAGUGGCGAACGGGUGAGUAAUACAUCGGAACGUGCCUAGUAGUGGGGGAUAACUACUCGAAAGAGUAGCUAAUACCGCAUGAGAUCUAAGGAUGAAAGCAGGGGACCUUCGGGCCUUGUGCUACUAGAGCGGCUGAUGGCAGAUUAGGUAGUUGGUGGGAUAAAAGCUUACCAAGCCGACGAUCUGUAGCUGGUCUGAGAGGACGACCAGCCACACUGGGACUGAGACACGGCCCAGACUCCUACGGGAGGCAGCAGUGGGGAAUUUUGGACAAUGGGCGCAAGCCUGAUCCAGCAAUGCCGCGUGCAGGAUGAAGGCCUUCGGGUUGUAAACUGCUUUUGUACGGAACGAAAAGACUCUCUCUAAUACAGGGGGUUGAUGACGGUACCGUAAGAAUAAGCACCGGCUAACUACGUGCCAGCAGCCGCGGUAAUACGUAGGGUGCGAGCGUUAAUCGGAAUUACUGGGCGUAAAGCGUGCGCAGGCGGUUUUGUAAGACAGAGGUGAAAUCCCCGGGCUCAACCUGGGAACUGCCUUUGUGACUGCAAGGCUGGAGUGCGGCAGAGGGGGAUGGAAUUCCGCGUGUAGCAGUGAAAUGCGUAGAUAUGCGGAGGAACACCGAUGGCGAAGGCAAUCCCCUGGGCCUGCACUGACGCUCAUGCACGAAAGCGUGGGGAGCAAACAGGAUUAGAUACCCUGGUAGUCCACGCCCUAAACGAUGUCAACUGGUUGUUGGGGAUUAAUUUUCUCAGUAACGAAGCUAACGCGUGAAGUUGACCGCCUGGGGAGUACGGCCGCAAGGUUGAAACUCAAAGGAUUUGACGGGGACCCGCACAAGCGGUGGAUGAUGUGGUUUAAUUCGAUGCAACGCGAAAACCUUACCCACCUUUGACAUGUACGGAUCCUUUAGAGAUAGAGGGUGCUCGAAGAGACCGUAACACAGGUGCUGCAUGCUGUCGUCAGCUCGUGUCGUGAGAUGUGGGUAAGUCCGCACGAGCGCACCUGCAUAGUGCUACGAAGGCACUCUAUGGGACUGCCGGUGACAACCGGAGGAAGGUGGGGAUGACGUCAG
rnacentral:rRNA from 1 species